ACUAAAUCUAAUGGGAGUGUGACUGAUCGCCCAAAUACCAUUUCACAAGGGCUUACCCCCGUGGCCUCAUGAGAAGAUGAUCGAUAUGCCAACAUGAGGAUGGCAUCAACCAAUUUGGUGAAGUAAUCUCCCACAACUAGAAGAUAAGAAUUUUUCCUGUGAGUCAUUGGUAAAUGACCUAAUAUAUCCACUGCCCAUCUUUCCAUUGAAGCACCAACCAGAAACACUGGGAGCUGAUGUAUGAUUUGACAAAGAUUCAUCUUGACAGAUUUCUUCAUGGGAUAAAUUUUCUACUUCUACCGGGACUCUUGGAUUGAAAACAAUCUCUCCCGAAUCUUCUAAAUGACUACUAUCCCUUGACAUUUUUGCUUUUGGGAGUACUUAUUUAUUCUAUGAUAUAAAGAAUUUACUUGUUCAAUUGUUUGUUUUAUGUCCAAUCAGAUAAUGGGAAUAAAAAUUUAUGAAUCCCACUUCUGACACCAAUGUUGC